CUACCAGACUCCUACGGGAGGCAGCAGUGAGGAAUAUUGGUCAAUGGGCGAGAGCCUGAACCAGCCAAGUCGCGUGAGGGAUGACUGCCCUAUGGGUUGUAAACCUCUUUUGUAUGGGGGGAAUAAGCUUUACGAGUAGAGUGAUGACAGUACCAUACGAAUAAGCAUCGGCUAACUCCGUGCCAGCAGCCGCGGUAAUACGUAUGGUGCAAGCGUUAUCCGGAUUUACUGGGUGUAAAGGGAGCGCAGGCGGCACGGCAAGCCUGAUGUGAAAGCCCGCGGCCCAACCGCGGGACUGCAUUGGGAACUACCGGGCUGGAGUGCCGGAGAGGUAGGCGGAAUUCCUAGUGUAGCGGUGAAAUGCGUAGAUAUUAGGAGGAACACCAGUGGCGAAGGCGGCCUACUGGACGGUGACUGACGCUGAGGCUCGAAAGCGUGGGGAGCAAACAGGAUUAGAUACCCCGGUA
rnacentral:rRNA from 1 species